rnacentral:rRNA from 1 species
UACGUAGGGGGCUAGCGUUGUCCGGAAUCAUUGGGCGUAAAGAGCUCGUAGGCGGCUUGGCAAGUCGGGUGUGAAACCUCCAGGCUCAACCUGGAGACGCCACUCGAUACUGCUAUGGCUAGAGUCCGGUAGGGGACCACGGAAUUCCUGGUGUAGCGGUGAAAUGCGCAGAUAUCAGGAGGAACACCGGUGGCGAAGGCGGGUCUCUGGACAGUUCCUGACGCUGAGGCACGAAGGUCAGGGGAGCAAACGGG